UACAUAGGGUGCGAGCGUUAAUCGGAAUUACUGGGCGUAAAGCGUGCGCAGGCGGUUUGCUAAGACCGAUGUGAAAUCCCCGGGCUUAACCUGGGAACUGCAUUGGUGACUGGCAAGCUAGAGUGUGGCAGAGGGGGGUAGAAUUCCACGUGUAGCAGUGAAAUGCGUAGAGAUGUGGAGGAAUACCGAUGGCGAAGGCAGCCCCCUGGGCCAACACUGACGCUCAUGCACGAAAGCGUGGGGAGCAAACAGG
rnacentral:rRNA from 1 species